UACGGAGGGUGCAAGCGUUAUCCGGAUUUACUGGGUUUAAAGGGUGUGUAGGCGGACUUUUAAGUCAGCGGUGAAAUCUCCGGGCUCAACCCGGAAACUGCCAUUGAUACUAUUGGUCUUGAAUGUUGUGGAGGUGGGCGGAACGGGUCAUGUAGCGGUGAAAUGCUUAGAGAUGACCCGGAACACCGAUUGCGAAGGCAGCCCACUACGCAACCAUUGACGCUGAGGCACGAAAGCGUGGGGAUCAAACAGG
rnacentral:rRNA from 1 species